rnacentral:rRNA from 1 species
CCUCUAGAUAGAAAAUAGGUGCCCGUACCGCAAACCGACACAGGUAGUCAAGAUGAGAAUUCUAAGGUGAGCGAGCGAACUCUCGUUAAGGAACUCGGCAAAAUGACCCCGUAACUUCGGGAGAAGGGGUGCUCUUUAGGGUUAACGCCCAGAAGAGCCGCAGUGAAUAGGCCCAAGCGACUGUUUAUCAAAAACACAGGUCUCUGCUAAACCGUAAGGUGAUGUAUAGGGGCUGACGCCUGCCCGGUGCUGGAAGGUUAAGAGGAGUGGUUAGCUUCUGCGAAGCUACGAAUCGAAGCCCCAGUAAACGGCGGCCGUAACUAUAACGGUCCUAAGGUAGCGAAAUUCCUUGUCGGGUAAGUUCCGACCCGCACGAAAGGCGUAACGAUUUGGGCACUGUCUCAACGAGAGACUCGGUGAAAUCAUAGUACCUGUGAAGAUGCAGGUUACCCGCGACAGGACGGAAAGACCCCGUGGAGCUUUACUGUAGCCUGAUAUUGAAAUUCGGCACAGCUUGUACAGGAUAGGUAGGAGCCUUUGAAACGUGAGCGCUAGCUUACGUGGAGGCGCUGGUGGGAUACUACCCUAGCUGUGUUGGCUUUCUAACCCGCACCACUUAUCGUGGUGGGAGACAGUGUCAGGCGGGCAGUUUGACUGGGGCGGUCGCCUCCUAAAAGGUAACGGAGGCGCUCAAAGGUUCCCUCAGAAUGGUUGGAAAUCAUUCAUAGAGUGUAAAGGCAUAAGGGAGCUUGACUGCGAGACCUACAAGUCGAGCAGGGUCGAAAGACGGACUUAGUGAUCCGGUGGUUCCGCAUGGAAGGGCCAUCGCUCAACGGAUAAAAGCUACCCCGGGGAUAACAGGCUUAUCUCCCCCAAGAGUUCACAUCGACGGGGAGGUUUGGCACCUCGAUGUCGGCUCAUCGCAUCCUGGGGCUGUAGUCGGUCCCAAGGGUUGGGCUGUUCGCCCAUUAAAGCGGUACGCGAGCUGGGUUCAGAACGUCGUGAGACAGUUCGGUCCCUAUCCGUCGUGGGCGUAGGAAAUUUGAGAGGAGCUGUCCUUAGUACGAGAGGACCGGGAUGGACAUACCUCUGGUGUACCAGUUGUCGUGCCAACGGCAUAGCUGGGUAGCUAUGUGUGGACGGGAUAAGUGCUGAAAGCAUCUAAGCAUGAAGCCCCCCUCAAGAUGAGAUUUCCCAACUUCGGUUAUAAGAUCCCUCAAAGAUGAUGAGGUUAAUAGGUUCGAGGUGGAAGCAUGGUGACAUGUGGAGCUGACGAAUACUAAUCGAUCGAAGACUUAAUC